rnacentral:rRNA from 1 species
GAUGAACGCUGGCGGCGUGCCUAAUACAUGCAAGUCGAGCGAACAGACGAGGAGCUUGCUCCUCUGACGUUAGCGGCGGACGGGUGAGUAACACGUGGAUAACCUACCUAUAAGACUGGGAUAACUUCGGGAAACCGGAGCUAAUACCGGAUAAUAUAUUGAACCGCAUGGUUCUAUAGUGAAAGACGGUUUUGCUAUCACUUAUAGAUGGAUCCGCGCCGCAUUAGCUAGUUGGUAAGGUAACGGCUUACCAAGGCAACGAUGCGUAGCCGACCUGAGAGGGUGAUCGGCCACACUGGAACUGAGACACGGUCCAGACUCCUACGGGAGGCAGCAGUAGGGAAUCUUCCGCAAUGGGCGAAAGCCUGACGGAGCAACGCCGCGUGAGUGAUGAAGGUCUUCGGAUCGUAAAACUCUGUUAUUAGGGAAGAACAAAUGUGUAAGUAACUGUGCACGUCUUGACGGUACCUAAUCAGAAAGCCACGGCUAACUACGUG